UACAGAGGUCUCAAGCGUUGUUCGGAUUCAUUGGGCGUAAAGGGUGCGUAGGUGGCGCGGUAAGUCGGGUGUGAAAUUUCGGAGCUUAACUCCGAAACUGCAUUCGAUACUGCCGUGCUUGAGGACUGGAGAGGAGACUGGAAUUUACGGUGUAGCAGUGAAAUGCGUGGAUAUCGUAAGGAAGACCAGUGGCGAAGGCGGGUCUCUGGACAGUUCCUGACACUGAGGCACGAAGGCCAGGGGAGCAAACGGG
rnacentral:rRNA from 1 species